AACACUGGUUAUAAGGAUGCUCAAGUACAGGUGCAGAAAAUAAAUCCUCUUUUGCAACCCAUAACUCAUUGUUUAGUAUGAAUUUUGGUACAUACAAGAAGAAACAUG